AAUUGUAGCAGAAAUCUGGCUGCAGUAUCUCCCACCCUAUUGAUAUCCAGGGUUGAUUUGACUGAUAUGGUUGGCUAGAUAGGCGUCCUUUUCUCUCAUCACUUCUUGUCCCUGUCUCCUGUAGCCACACACACUUUUGAAGUGAAGAUUCAUUGGUAAAGAAGGAAGAUUGUUCAAUAAAUAGUAAAAAUGACUAUACACCUCUGUCAGAAACUCCAAUCAGCUUUCAAGGUCCACUUAUAGGAGAAUACAGGGUAUUCAAGAUUCUAAGACUUCCAGAGACAUUCAAAGAAAGGGCUGCAUUUGGAAGUCUACGUUUGU
rfam:Cavia porcellus supercont2_84 genomic scaffold, whole genome shotgun sequence.